rnacentral:rRNA from 1 species
AUUGAACGCUGGCGGAAUGCUUUACACAUGCAAGUCGAACGGCAGCACGGGGCAACCUGGUGGCGAGUGGCGAACGGGUGAGUAAUACAUCGGAACGUGCCCAAUCGUGGGGGAUAACGUAGCGAAAGUUACGCUAAUACCGCAUACGAUCUACGGAUGAAAGCGGGGGAUCGCAAGACCUCGCGCGAAUGGAGCGGCCGAUGUCAGAUUAGGUAGUUGGUGGGGUAAAGGCUCACCAAGCCAACGAUCUGUAGCUGGUCUGAGAGGACGACCAGCCACACUGGAACUGAGACACGGUCCAGACUCCUACGGGAGGCAGCAGUGGGGAAUUUUGGACAAUGGGCGCAAGCCUGAUCCAGCCAUUCCGCGUGCAGGAUGAAGGCCUUCGGUUGUAACCUCUUUCAGUAGGGAAGAAGCGAAAGUGACGGUACCUACAGAAGAAGCACCGGCUAACUACGUGCCAGCAGCCGCGGUAAGCUCGUCUCUA